rnacentral:lncRNA from 1 species
AAGUUGCUGCUCAAAGGCUGCAGAAAAGAUUCAUCUAUUGCUUAUAAAAAGAGGAUGAAUACAUGGCUAUUUAUAGGGUUUCUAAACCCUAACUCCUAAUAGGACUCCUACUCAAUUAAGACUCCUAUUCCUUUACAACUCCUAAUUCUUCUUUAAGAAAUAACCUCCAAACCCUAACCGGUCUCUUCACCUCUUUAAUAGGGGUCGGCUUAGGUAG